UGCGUAGGGGGCUAGCGUUGUCCGGAAUCAUUGGGCGUAAAGAGCGUGUAGGCGGUCCGGUAAGUCCGCUGUGAAAGUCGGGGGCUCAACCCUCGAAUGCCGGUGGAUACUGUCGGGCUAGAGUCCGGAAGAGGCGAGUGGAACUCCUGGUGUAGCGGUGAAAUGCGCAGAUAUCAGGAAGAACACCAGCGGCGAAGGCGGCACUCUGGGCCGGAACUGACGCUGAGGAGCGAAAGCGUGGGUAGCAAACAGG
rnacentral:rRNA from 1 species